rnacentral:rRNA from 1 species
UACGGAGGGUGCGAGCGUUGUCCGGAAUCAUUGGGCGUAAAGGGCGCGUUGGCGGCGCGAGUAGUCAACGGUGAAAGCCCGGGGCUCAACCCCGGGUCGGCCGUCGAUACUCUCGUGCUUGAGCACUGUAGAGGCAGGUGGAAUUCCGGGUGUAGCGGUGGAAUGCGUAGAGAUCCGGAAGAACACCGGUGGCGAAGGCGGCCUGCUGGGCAGUAGCUGACGCUGAGGCGCGACAGCGUGGGGAGCAAACAGG